rnacentral:sRNA from 24 species
CGUCCACAAACGCUGAAUUCCCACCAGGAAACGGGGGACCCAGAAUCCACCAGGGGCCAAGCGCAGUGGCUUCACUGCCCGGGCGACACUCCUGCCGUCCGCGCCCGUCAGCUAACCCCGUAAGCGUCGCAGGGGGAGACC